UGAUCAUCUCAAAGUCAUUUUGUAUGAUUUUGGAAAGUUGGGCUCUUUUUGUUGUGAGAAACACAACUGGCCUGAAACAUAUGUGUCAAAUACAUGCAAGAAAACGUGUGGAGGCUUUGUUGUCCAGACGAAAAGCUAAUUAGUUGACUGUGGUCAAAUUUGCUGACUAGUCUUCAACAACGGAGCAAGUCUGCAUUCACC
rnacentral:misc_RNA from 1 species